rnacentral:misc_RNA from 1 species
CUAAGUUCAGCGGGUAUUCCUACCUGAUCCGAGGUCAACAUUUCAGAAGUUGGGUGUUUUACGGACGUGGACGCGCCGCGCUCCCGGUGCGAGUUGUGCAAACUACUGCGCAGGAGAGGCUGCGGCGAGACCGCCACUGUAUUUCGGGGCCGGGAUCCCGUCUUAGGGGCUCCCGAGGUCCCCAACGCCGACCCCCCGGA